AGAGCGAACGCUGGCGGCAGGCUUAACACAUGCAAGUCGAGCGGAUGUAGCAAUACAUCAGCGGCAGACGGGAGAGGAACACGUGGGAACGCGCCCUUCGGUUCGGAAUAACUCAGGGAAACUUGAGCUAAUACCGGAUACGCCCUUACGGGGAAAGAUUUAUUGCCGAAGGAACGGCCCGCGUCCGAUUAGCUAGUUGGUGAGGUAAUGGCUCACCAAGGCGACGAUCGGUAGCUGGUCUGAGAGGAUGACCAGCCUCACUGGGACUGAGACACGGCCCAGACUCCUACGGGAGGCAGCAGUGGGGAAUAUUGGACAAUGGGCGCAAGCCUGAUCCAGCCAUGCCGCGUGGAUGAUGAAGGCCUUAGGGUUGUAAAGUCCUUUUAACGGGGAGAUAAUGACGGUACCCGUAGAAUAAGCCCGGCUAACUUCGCGCCAGCAGCCGC
rnacentral:rRNA from 1 species